rnacentral:rRNA from 1 species
UACGGGGGGGGGUAAGCGUUGUUCGGAAUUACUGGGCGUAAAGGGCUCGUAGGCGGCCAACUAAGUCAUACGUGAAAUCCCUCAGCUUAACUGGGGAACUGCGUGUGAUACUGGAUGGCUUGGAUUUGGGAGAGGGAUGCGGAAUUCCAGGUGUAGCGGUGAAAUGCGUAGAUAUCUGGAGGAACACCGGGUGGCGAAGGCGGCAUCCUGGACCAAUAUUGACGCUGAGGAGCGAAAGCUAGGGGAGCAAACGGG